rnacentral:misc_RNA from 1 species
GAUGAAGAACGUAGCGAAAUGCGAUAAGUAGUGUGAAUUGCAGAAUUCAGUGAAUCAUCGAAUCUUUGAACGCACAUUGCGCCCCUCGGUAUUCCGUGGGGCAUGCCUGUUCGAGCGUCAUUUAACCCCUCAAGCCUAGCUUGGUAUUGGGUGCUUGUCCCGCCUCUCGCGCGGCGACACACCUCAAAGUCAUUGGCAGCCCGCAUCUCGCCGGCCGUGAGCGCAGCACAGACGCGCUCUUGGCAACGACGGAUCGGCUCUCCAAAAGCUUAUUUCAACCACUGACCUCGGAUCAGGUAGGGAUACCCGCUGAACUUAAGCAUAUCAAUAAGCGGAGGA